rnacentral:misc_RNA from 1 species
UCGAUUUGGAGAAGGCUUAUGAUAAUGUUCCAAGAUAUGUCUAAUGGAGAGUGUUAGAACAAAAGAGAGUAUCUAUUAGGUACGUCCAGGUAUUGAAAGAUAUGUAUGAAGGAUCAACUACUAUUGUGCGCACAGUGGAAGGAGAUGCAAGAGAUUUUCCUAUCUUAGUUGGAUUACACCAAGGUUCAGCUGUAACCCCUUACAUUUUUACAUUAAUUCUAGAUGAAUGGACGAAACAUAUACAAGAGAGUAUCUCUUGGUGCAUGAUAUUUGCGGAUGAUAUAGUUCUAAUAGAUGAGAUGUGAGAAGGAGUCAAUAGAAAGUUAG